GAAUAAUAAGGCUUCCUUUGUAUUUCAAGAGGGGCACCUCUGUACACACCCUGCUUGCAAACUCACAGAAUCCACAGGUUUACCUGUGAGCAUGAACUCCCACUGGCCUUCAUCCCACUAGGAUGUGACCCGGAGAUGGAGGUACCGCAAAACAGAGGCAGCCUGGAACCCUGGGCUUUCACCUGGAGGGCAACUGCCCUGGAGA